AGUGAACGCUGGCGGCAGGCCUAACACAUGCAAGUCGAGCGGCAGCGCGGGGGCAACCCUGGCGGCGAGCGGCGGACGGGUGAGGAAUUCGUCGGAAUCUGCCUUUUUGUGGGGGAUAACGUAGGGAAACUUACGCUAAUACCGCAUACGUCCUACGGGAGAAAGUGGGGGACCGCAAGGCCUCACGCAGAAAGAUGAGCCGACGACCGAUUAGCUAGUUGGUGGGGUAAAGGCCCACCAAGGCGACGAUCGGUAGCUGGUCUGAGAGGAUGAUCAGCCACACUGGGAGUGAGACACGGCCCAGACUCCUACGGGAGGCAGCAGUGGGGAAUAUUGGACAAUGGGCGCAAGCCUGAUCCAGCCAUGCCGCGUGUGUGAAGAAGGCCUUCGGGUUGUAAAGCACUUUUGUCCGGAAAGAAAUCCCUGGAGCUAAUACCUUCGGGGGAUGACGGUACCGGAAGAAUAAGCACCGGCUAACUUCGUG
rnacentral:rRNA from 1 species